GAAAAAUAAAAAAAUCGAACGGUCAAAGUGCAAGACGCUUCUUUGCUUUCCGCUUUUUUUGAUUCUGCUAGUGGUUGAAUAGUGAAUCAUUGUCUACUGUGCCUUGUCAUGAUGAACUAUGAAGCUCACUGGAAACCGUAGUUUGCCAUCAAUCGUCAACGUUUUCCAUACAAAACAGCUGCUGCUAUUCGUUUGUCAUAUCCACCGAAUAUAAGAGCUGAUACAGGAUCAGUCCCAAAGAGGAUGCCGGAAGAUAGCGGCCGCAUCAAGCACCGCAAUUAUUACAAUUAGACUACGAACACCAGUACUCUUUAUCAGCAGCUACACUUACGGCAUGCUCAGCGAGUAGCUUUGAAGAGCGCUCAGUAACAGGAUAAAAUAAACACUAUAAAAUUUAGUUAAAACUAAAUUUCAAAGCAAAGAAAUAAAA